CAAUAGCGUAUAUUAAAGUUGUUGCAGUUAAAAAGCUCGUAGUUGGAUUUCUGGUGGGAGCGAUCGGUCUGGCGCUUAGCGCGAGUACUUGCAUCGUCUCCGGCCAUCCUUGGGGAGAGUCUGUCUGGCAUUAAGUUGUCGGGCAGAGGAUCCUCAUCGUUUACUGUGAAAAAAUUAGAGUGUUCAAAGCAGGCUUAUGCCGUUGAAUAUAUUAGCAUGGAAUAAUAAGAUAGGACUUUGGUACUAUUUUGUUGGUUUGCGCACCAAAGUAAUGAUUAAUAGGGACAGUUGGGGGUAUUCGUAUUCCGUUGUCAGAGGGGAAAUUCUUGGAUUUACGGAAGACGAACUACUGCGAAAGCAUUUACCAAGGAUGUUUUCAUUAA
rnacentral:rRNA from 1 species